rnacentral:rRNA from 1 species
GAGAAGUGCUUUAGCAUAAAGAACCGGUGACAGGUGCUGCAUGGCUGUCGUCAGCUCGUGUCGUGAGAUGUUGGUUAAGUCCCGCAACGAGCGCAACCCUCGCCUUUAGUUGCCAGCAUUCAGUUGGGCGACUCUAGAGGGGACUGCCGGUGUCAAACCGGAGGAAGGUGGGGAUGACGUCAAGUCCUCAUGGCCUUUAUGUCUAGGGCUACACACGUACUACAAUGGCCGGUACAAAGGGCAGCCACUCAGCGAUGAGGCGCUAAUCCCAUAAAGCCGGUCUCAGUCCGGAUCGCAGUCUGCAACUCGACUCCAUGAAGUUGGAAUCGCUAGUAAUCGCAGAUCAGCACGCUGCGGUGAAUACGUUCCCGGGCCUU